GUUCUAAUAACUUAACUAGAGAAGGAUAAAGCAAAGGAAAACUAUAGACCGAUAUCAGUAUAUUAGUUCAAAAUUUAAAAUAAAUGUCAAAUGGACUUCUAGCAAUUCCACUAAGAAAUUUUUCAUGUUGAUGAAGUUGUAUUUACGCAGCCAUGCAAGGAUAAAGGUCAACAUUAGGACAGCAAUCAACGUCAUUAUUUGAAAGACAAGACACCUGAAAUGACGUGAUUAUCGGAAUAGAUGGCAACAAGCACUCCUUACGACUAUUUUUAAAGCCCGACACAGUUUAUAGCUCGUUCUUUUCUUACUAUCAUAAAAUUAUUUUCUAAAACCCAAAUCAAGCAUCGCCCCAAUGAAAAUGUACCAGUUUUCCUCAUAAAUAAUUACAUGAAUAGUGUAAUGGUAAGACCAAAAGGAGACUUGAGUACAGCCCGGCAUGGCCGCAUUCUCCCCACACCGGUUGGCUUUAGUUCUGGUCAUGUUGGUGUGUGGGAUGAGAGUCGGUGGGCACUUCUCGGAGUGGCCUUCGGUCUGUGGCCCCGACUUUCCAGACCCCCCAGUCUUCCUUAGACUGGGGAGCUGCCCCCGCACCCAGGACAUUUGGAGCCUGAGAAGAGCUUAUCUACCGCUUGGGAAAUUGGCCAACGCCAGGAGAGGACUAAGAGAGCACAGGGAGUUUCCAAAGCAUCUUUCUUGUCGGGGCUGAGAACCCUUGGAGUGUCACAGGUUUUCUGAUCUUGGAGGUCUGAUGUUGGAGGUUGUCUGUCAGGAGUACGGAGGUUGAAAACCAGGCGCUCAAGACUCAGAACGUCACAGCCCCCCCUCUGUGGGACUGGCCAGAGGGAAGGGGGACAAUCUGGCAUCAGGAUCCUUAUAAACAUUCGUGAUUGUUUGUAGAAUGAUAGAGGACAUGUUUGCUCUGAACAAGCAGUUAGGGUGGGCAGAAUGCCUUUCCCCCCCUUUCUCCUCCCCUUCGGACACCCCCCCACUGUUUUCUCCAAAUAAAGUUGCUUUUCUCUGCCAGAAUCUUAUCAAAUGCCCUGUCUGCUCAUCAGAGGGAUUUCUGGGGGAUGAGCACACACACACACACACACACACACACACACACACACACACACACACACAGUCUUUUCGUAAACACUUCGGACCCCCUUUUCUAGAUUUCUGGCCCCAGACACCUCCCCUUCCCCCCCAAAUCCAAAACAAAAACCCUUUGGGGAGGAGCCCCGACUCGGUACUCGGCUGUUUCCAUGGGCAUUUUCAUGCUGAUGAUUCCCUCGCGUUGCCCAUCUCCCUCUCCUUCCCUCCCACCCCAACCCAAAGGCCGGGGUCCACCUGUAUGGGGUGGCUUCCGGCCCUCCCCUAG
rnacentral:lncRNA from 1 species